CUCUGGCUACUCUCCCACUUUCUUCCUAUUUAUCUUUGGGCUUUCCAGGGGAGAAUGGCAAGGAAAGAAAAAUGUUCAUGUCCAUGCAUCGUCACUGGCUAUGUUUACGAUGAACACACCUUUGUUUCCUCAUCUGAAAAAUGAGCAGUUGGACUGAUUGACCUGGGGCCCAAAGGUUCUGCUGGGACCCAAAGAGCAGAAACAAGAAACAUAUUGACAUCUACUCUAGAAUGCCAGUAAAAACUCAUAAGGCUUCAGGUUAGGGACAGAUUAAAAUAUAUCUGGCUUUUUGUCAUCUGUAAAUAUCGACUGCCCAGGCCUUGGGAUUCAACCUGAAUUAAAUAUGCCCAAUAUGUUUUCCUGAGAUCAGAAAUAUAUCGUGGACACAGAGAGAAGACAUAGAAGCUGCUGAAUGACCAGUGAACAGGCUAUUUUUCUGGAACUGCAGAAAUGGAAGGUCGAGUGGGAGGAGUCCGCUGCUGUGCACUGAGCCAGACAGUUGCACCCUGGGUGCCGAGGACUGGAAGACGAGAGGACACCUGGGCUGGAAUCCGUCUCCGCUCCU